UGGGGAGAAGUUUUGAGAUUUUUCUGAGUGGGGGUGGGGUGAAUCGUAAAGAAGCGGCGGAGUGCAGGGCAGUUUCGUUCUCAGUUGGAGACAAUAAUCGGCCGUCGACCCGCAUAAAGCGGAGCGAUUUGGUUUCAGAUAUUAGACGUUAAAUGAUUCCGAUCCUGCGGCUCUCGGCCCCAUCCCUCAGCCUUUCAUUAUGGCGGCGGCGUUGGUGAGUGAGUGGGGUCUGCGCUGGGCCAGGAGAAGCCUGAAACGGCAAUGGCUUUGUACGCUGACUUUCUUAAGAAAUGCUUCAACAGGCAGUUGCAGAAUCGAAAAAAUUCUUAUUGCAAAUAGAGGCGAGAUUGCCUGCAGGGUAAUGCGGACAGCGAAGAAGAUGGGUGUUCGCUCCGUAGCUGUUUACAGUGAGGCAGACAAAAACUCCAUGCAUGUCACAAUGGCUGACGAAGCUUACCACAUUGGACCAGCAGCCUCCCAGCAGAGCUACCUAAAUGUGGAAAAGAUCAUUCAGGUAGCUAAAGCAGCGGCAGCACAGGCCAUCCACCCAGGCUACGGAUUCCUUUCAGAGAACACAGAGUUUGCAGAACGAUGUAAAAAGGAGGGCAUCGUUUUUAUUGGACCUCCUUCCUCAGCUAUCAGAGAUAUGGGCAUCAAAAGCACAUCGAAGGCCAUAAUGUCAGCUGCAGGGGUGCCUGUCGUUGAAGGUUACCAUGGUGAUGAACAAUCUGAUCAACAAUUAAUGGUGGAGGCCAGUAGAAUUGGUUAUCCUGUGAUGAUAAAAGCAGUUCGGGGUGGAGGUGGCAAGGGUAUGCGCAUUGCUCAAACAGAGGCCGAUUUCCUUGAACAGCUGGAAUCUGCACGAAGAGAAGCAAGGAAGUCCUUUAAUGAUGAUGUUAUGUUGAUAGAAAAAUUCGUAGACAAUCCAAGACAUGUAGAAGUGCAAGUGUUUGGAGACCAGUAUGGCAAUGCUGUUUAUUUGUUUGAGAGAGACUGCAGCGUACAAAGAAGACAUCAAAAAAUUAUUGAAGAGGCACCAGGGCCUGGAAUUAGUCCUGAGGUGAGGAGAAGACUUGGCGAAGCUGCAGUCCAAGCUGCUAAAGCUGUUAGUUAUGUAGGAGCUGGGACAGUGGAAUUUAUCAUGGACUCUCAGCAUAAUUUUUAUUUCAUGGAAAUGAACACAAGACUGCAGGUGGAGCAUCCAGUCACUGAGAUGAUAACAGGAACUGAUCUUGUUGAAUGGCAGCUUCGGGUGGCAGCUGGAGAGCAGCUUCCUAUGACACAGGAAGAACUCUCUGUCAAAGGUCAUGCAUUUGAAGCAAGAAUUUAUGCAGAAGAUCCAAGUAAUAACUUUAUGCCAGGUGCAGGGCCUUUGCUGCAUCUAUCAACACCAGUAGCAGAUGCUUUUACAAGAAUUGAAACUGGAGUCAAACAAGGUGAUGAAGUCUCUGUGCAUUAUGACCCAAUGAUUGCCAAGCUGGUGGUUUGGGGAAAUGACCGCACAGUGGCACUAAAUAAAUUAAAAUAUUGCUUGCGUCAGUACAAUAUUGUAGGCUUAAAUACCAACAUAGAUUUCCUACUCAAUCUUGCUGCUCAUUCUGAAUUUGAGGCUGGAAAUGUACACACAGACUUUAUCCCUCAACACUACAAUGGACUGUUCCCAGCAAAGGAAGCAACUAAUAAAGACGUUCUAUGCCAGGCAGCACUUGCUCUAAUACUGCAUGAAAGAAUUCAGACCAACACUUUCAAGGCACUUUCACAUGAUCCAUUUUCUCCAUUUGCAAACAGCAGUGGAAGAAGGUUAAAUAUUCUAUACUGCAGAAAUCUUGCAUUGCUUGAUGGACAGAAUAAGGUGAAUAUUGAUGUUACGUAUAACUCUGACAGGACUUACAGUAUUCAGAUUGAUGGAGAGAGAUUCCAUGUAUUUGGAGAACUGGAGACAGAGGGCGAUGCCACAUACCUGAAAUGUUCAGUCAAUGGAAUGGUUUGCAAACCUAAACUAGUUCUUACAAACAACAGCAUUCACCUGUUUUCAAUGGAAGGAGCUGUGCAAGUUAAUAGCCCUGUGCCAAAGUUUUUAGUUGGAAUUGAUGUCUCUGGAUCUCGAGGAGGAGCAGUGGCACCAAUGACCGGAACUAUUGAAAAGGUGUUCGUUAAGGAAGGUGAUCAUGUCAAGGCUGGAGACUCAUUAAUGGUAAUGAUAGCCAUGAAAAUGGAGGGAGUAUCUACAACACAAAUACCAAAAUAUGUAACAUUGCAAACAUUUCCAUACUGAAGGAGCAUCAUCAUACUGGAUGCUGUGCCAGUGUAGUUUUGACAGCUAUCCCAUUAAUAUCACACACGGAUGAAAAGAAAAACACUGCAAUUAAUGGAACUGCAAAACAAAAAGAUGGGUUCAUGUUUUGAAAGCAUACAAUAAAAGCUCCAAAGGCUGGCGUGGUUGAGAAAGUUCUAUACAAAGAAGGUUCCCAAGCUAACCGACAUGCCGCAGUGGUAAAAUUUGUGGAGGAGGAAAAUUCACAAUGAAUUCAACUCGAUUUACUUUGGCCAACUGUGCAAAAAAACUGAUAUUAAAAAUACCUUAUUUUUCAUGUGA